rnacentral:rRNA from 1 species
GACAGAGGGUGCAAACGUUGUUCGGAAUUACUGGGCGUAAAGCGAGUGUAGGCGGUUCGAUAAGUCGGAUGUGAAAGCCCCGGGCUCAACCCGGGAAGUGCACUCGAUACUGUCGAGCUAGAGUAUCGGAGAGGUUGGUGGAAUUCUCGGUGUAGAGGUGAAAUUCGUAGAUAUCGGGAGGAACACCGGUGGCGAAGGCGGCGACCUGGGUGGAUACUGACGCUGAGGCGCGAAAGCGUGGGGAGCAAACAGG